AUGUACCAUAUACAUGGUAAGCAUUGUGUUCUAUGUUGUUUACUUGUAAUGUCUGUGCUGUCUAGUUUUAUUUAAGUAAUUGUCUGUUUAUGUGAAGUGUAGUUUAUGUGAUAUAUUUAUGUUGGUCAGAAUUUGUAUACUUUGUAUACAAAUUUAUUUAUAAAAUGGACAACUCUUUAAAAGAUUUGAGAUGUAUAUAAUUAUUUAUUACUAUGAGAUCCAUAUGAAUAUUGUAUUGGAAAGUUAACUAAAGGGUUAGAUUUUUGUGAGUAAAGGGCUUAUUUGAGUAUAUAGAUAUUUAAAGGAAUGAGUAUAAAUUGUAGUUAUUCCCCUUUGCCCAUAUGUUACAUGUACUGUCUUGUCAUGUGAAUAUUUAUUAUUUGUUGUUAUAUGUUUUAGGGUCUAAAUAUAGUGUAUUAAAAGAAAAGAACCCUAGAUCAUCGUUUGUGUUGUAUUUACCUAGAAAAUACCCCGUUACAUUUGGCGCCCACAAAGGUUUAUCGUUUGGAGCCUCACAGAAGCUGUGACCUGGAAUGAACCGUGAACCGGAAGUGAUUGUUUCACAUGGACAAAUGAGAAAAUCAACACAGUUUUGCAGUGAUGAUGUGAACAUUUAUGCUUUUGCAUUGUGUAUUUAUUAUUUGUGAUUGAAAGACAUACCUAUUUGGAUAUGGAUUAAUACCUUUUCAUAUGACAUGUAUGAGUAGUGCUCAGAUUUAUACACAGCACUGUGAUGUUUCCAAUUUCUACACUGACCUAUGUACCAUAUACAUGGUAAGCAUUGUGUUCUAUGUUGUUUACUUGUAAUGUCUGUGCUGUCUAGUUUUAUUUAAGUAAUUGUCUGUUUAUGUGAAGUGUAGUUUAUGUGAUAUAUUUAUGUUGGUCAGAAUUUGUAUACUUUGUAUACACAUUUAUUUAUAAAAUGGACAACUCUUUAAAAGAUUUGAGAUGUAUAUAAUUAUUUAUUACUAUGAGAUACAUAUGAAUAUUGUAUUGGAAAGUUAACUAAAGGGUUAGAUUUUUGUGAGUAAAGGGCUUAUUUGAGUAUAUAGAUAUUUAAAGGAAUGAGUAUAAAUUGUAGUUAUUCCCCUUUGCCCAUAUGUUACAUGUACUGUCUUGUCAUGUGAAUAUUUAUUAUUUGUUGUUAUAUGUUUUAGGGUCUAAAUAUAGUGUAUUAAAAGAAAAGAACCCUAGAUCAUCGUUUGUGUUGUAUUUACCUAGAAAAUACCCCGUUACA